CCUACGGGAGACAGCAGUGAGGAAUAUUGGUCAAUGGGCGCGAGCCUGAACCAGCCAAGUAGCGUGAAGGAUGACUGCCCUAUGGGUUGUAAACUUCUUUUAUAUGGGAAUAAAGUGUUGCACGUGUGCCUUUUUGUAUGUACUUUAUGAAUAAGGAUCGGCUAACUCCGUGCCAGCAGCCGCGGUAAUACGGAGGAUACGAGCGUUAUCCGGAUUUAUUGGGUUUAAAGGGAGCGUAGGUGGGUUGUUAAGUCAGUUGUGAAAGUUUGCGGCUCAACCGUAAAAUUGCAGUUGAUACUGGCAGUCUUGAGUACAGUAGAGGUGGGCGGAAUGCGUGGUGUAGCGGUGAAAUGCUUAGAUAUCACGAAGAACUCCGAUUGCGAAGGCAGCUCACUGGACUGCAACUGACACUGAGGCUCGAAAGUGUGGGUAUCAAACAGGAUUAGAUACCCCUGUAGUC
rnacentral:rRNA from 1 species